rnacentral:rRNA from 1 species
CUUGGCGACCAUAGCGUUUUGGACCCACCUGAUUCCAUCCCGAACUCAGAAGUGAACGUAACGAGGCGUACGGAUCGGUAACGUGGGUAGGGGUUACGUCCCCAUGUGAGAGUAGAACAUCGCCAGGC